CCUACGGGAGGCAGCAGUGGGGAAUAUUGGUCAAUGGGCGCAAGCCUGACCCAGCAACGCCGCGUGAAGGAAGAAGGCUUUCGGGUUGUAAACUUCUUUUAAUGGGGAAGAGCAGUAGACGGUACCCCUUUAAUAAUCCACGGCUAACUCCGUGCCAGCAGCCGCGGUAAUACGGAGGAUGCGAGCGUUAUCCGGAUUUAUUGGGUUAAAGGGGUGCGCAGGCGGAAGCGCAAGUCAGCGGUAAAAUUUAGGGGCUAAACCUCUUCCCGCCGUUGAAACUGCGUUUCUUGAGUGGUCGAGAAGUACGCGGAAUGCGUGGUGUAGCGGUGAAAUGCAUAGAUAUCACGCAGAACUCCGAUUGCGAAGGCAGCGUACCGGAGCCCAACUGACGCUGAUGCACGAAAGCGUGGGUAUCGAACAGGAUUAGAUACCCUUGUAGUC
rnacentral:rRNA from 1 species